rnacentral:lncRNA from 1 species
GAAGAAAUCAUAUAUUAGAUAGAACUGUUGGAUUACAAUAGUGUAUAUUACAGGAGGAACAUCAUCCAAAUGUGAUGCAUAAUCUGACUAUUUUAUUAACAACAAAACUUACAUUGAAAGCAUCCAUCAACAACUUCCCUACAACUUAACUAAAAAUCAAGGAGGAACAACAUCCAAUAUACGCCAUCCCUACAACUUAACUAAAACUGAAAGCAUCCAUCAUCAUCAUCAUCAUCAUCAUGAACCGGAACAUCAACAUCAUCAUUGCAGUAUACUUUCCACACACCAUAUAGUCAUCCAUUUCUUUUGAAUCUACAAACAAGAUAACAAAAUGAGUUGUUAAUACACAAAGAUUGCCAUGAUGCAAGUAGUAAUAGAGGCAAGAUAUUAGUUUUUUUAUGCAUUACCGAGAGUAUUGCAGUUUUUUCAACUCCAUACCAAAUUUUCAGUUUUCACAAGUGCCAUAUCGACAUGCACUGCCCAGAAUCCAUUUCUAAUUUCAGCACCAUCAAGUUUAAAUUUAGGAUCACAACUUACAAUCGUACCAAGAGCUACGUCCUAGUUGUGAUUUUUCAGGCUCUUCAAGAAUACUUUAGUUCCUGCAUGUUAGAGAAAUCAAAGUUACCAUUGGCAGAAUCAUCUUCAUCACCCAUGACAAGACAGACAAAAUAGGGGAACAUAUGAAAUGAAUUUGAGCAGUCUUACAAGUAGUUCACUAGCACCGAACAAACUCAGCGAACAACUUUGAUCUCUCUUACUGGUUGCAUUAGUAGCUUUUUUGUUUUUUGUUUUUUGUCUGGACAACACUCUUAUAGCAAAGUAGAGGUAAUAAAGGUAUAAACAAGCUAGCACUAUAGUUUGAGCAAAAUAUGUAUCUGGUUACGAAAAGAUACUAGCUUGUUCGCAGUAGAAGUUUUUCUCCCACACGUACACUGACAUUCUCAAGCAAAGUAUCUUUGUUCUGAACAACAUUCUAAUAGCAACACGACUAGUAGAUACAUAAACAUCGAAGCGAUAUAUAUUGAAAUAUUGUAUAUGGUAAUGGAAAUAUACCUUGAGUGCAGCAGCAUUUAUUUUCCCUUGCCGUGUACUGAAAUUCUGAUCAAAAGUUUCUUGGUUCUGGACAACAUUCACAAAGCAAUAAGUAAACACACAUAAACAUGGGAGCACUAUAGUUUGAUCAUAAUUUGGUAUAUCAGACUAUGGAGAUACCUCAUGUGCAGCAGAACCUUUUUCUAGUUGCCGUGCACUGUAACCAUUAUGAACCAUGAAUUAUAUGUUACUAUAAUGAAUAAUCAUAUAUUGCAAUCAAUAAGGAAUGAGCAAACUUACCAUCUUCAUUUUCAUCUACAUCAGCAUCAUCCCAAUCUGUGAAACCUUCUUUAUCAUUAGUAGUUAUUUCUUAGACAUCAGAUGAUUCAACAUUUUUUUCAACAGAAUUAUGAUGUUUGAUUGGUUCUUCUGUCAUAUAGUCCUCAUUAGAUUCAACAACGUUGAUUCUUGUGUGAGACAUAUGUGCUGCAACAUGACAAUGACCAAAAGUUUAAAUAAAUUGUGUAACGUACAAUAUAGGUUGUUUCAUAAACUAAAAUAUAUAUAACACAGUCUAAAAAAACUAUAAUUCCCAAGCAACGAUUUAGUAAUUUUUGUUAUUCUUACGGUACAUUUUGUUUAUAUUCACAGUGUCACUAGAAAUGCAACUCUACUGCAAAGCUAUAGUAAUUCUCAACUUUAGUCCUAAAUGGUUUAUUUUUCCUAGUGUUUUUUGCUGAAUUUUGUUUGCUGCUACCAACAGGUACUAAACUACUUUAUUUGGCAUGUGUGCGAGUGUAUUCUACCACAAAGUUUUAAAUAAUUGUAAACCCUAGCAUGGGAGCUUGUUUGCUACACCCAGUUUUUUCACUAAAUGCAUCUUCUGUAUAAUUUGUUAGUGUAAAAAGAAAUGUAAUUGCUAUGCAAAGUGUAAUACAUUUUGAACCAUUAGGCUCAUAGUUGUUCUGUUGCUCCUUAAACUAAUGAUGUUUUGUCCACAGUGUAUCUAUUGUAUGAUUUACAGUGUAGAAAGUACUGUAAUUCUACUGUGUAGCUAUAGUAAAUUUGAACCAGAGCAUCCAAGUAUAUUUUGCUGCUCCUAGUCUCAUACUAAAGUACUAAUAACAAUGACAUUUUGAUUCAUUUUACAGUGUGCUUUUACUAUGAUUCAUUGUUAUUUGGCCAGAGUAAUUGGUGGUGGUCUCAAUUUUACAAUAGCAUUGAUAUAAUCUGAUAAGUGUUUCAUGUUUCUUUGUUUUUUUUGUCAUUAGACUGAAGCAACUCAAUGGAGAAACACUAGCGGGACCGGAAGAUAAAAUUGACAUCGACAUACUGAUGACAAGUACAAACAGGAACAAAUUGUCAGGCACCAAUUGGCCGGAAAAUCUGAUUGAAAAAGUUUUCAGUCAACUGACAGUGAAAACUUUGGCAAUGAGUAAACUGAACACUGAAUCAAUUUCAGAUUAAACUAGAAUCGUGAUCUGAUCUCUAUGUAUAUCCGUCGGUGGGUGAAGAAAAAAAAAGCUGAGAACCAAUAUGGAGGGCAUGAAUUGCAGCAAUGAGGGAUAGGGAGCAGGGCACUUACUAGAUGAACACGCAGGAUUGUUACCACCACGUACCAGCCGGAUCUAAACAAUCUACGAGCCGGAUUUGCCUUGCAAGAGAGUCGUGAAUUGAUUAAGAGCACAGAUCGGUGGAAUAGGGAGCAAGAGAGAAUAAUUGUGGGGGAGUAGGUCGGCAACUAACCUUGCUCAGCUUGUGGUGAUGCCUCCGCCACCGGCCGCCGGGCGUGCGAUGGAUCCAGCGCGAGACGAGGAAGGGAACCGUACUGAUAUGAGGGGAGGUUUCCGAUUUUAUUUGCACAGUUACCUCAUCGCAAUCUGUUUGACCGAUGUUAGUCUCUAUCCUGGAUGGCUAUGAGACAUGGGGCCAUGGUAAUGAAGCGCGCCUACUUAACUUUUUCUUUGAC